rnacentral:misc_RNA from 1 species
AAGUCGUAACAAGGUUUCCGUAGGUAAACCUGCAGAAAGAUCAUUACACUCAGUAGAUUUCUACUGCUCAGAGGGAGCGGAAAGUGCUUUUGCACAAGUACGCUCUCUUUCUAAAACCCUUGUCUUUUUGCGUACUUCUGUUUCCUCAGCGGGUUCGCCCGCCAGCUAGACAACUCAAUAACCUUUUUAAUUUUCAAUCAGCGUCUAAAUAAUUAUAAUAAUUACAACUUUCAACAACAGAUCUCUUAGUUCUA